rnacentral:rRNA from 1 species
UACAGAGGGUGCGAGCGUGUUCGGAAUUACUGGGCGUAAAGCGCGCGCAGGCGGCUUCCCUAAGUCCGUCGGUGAAAGACCGGGGCUCAACCCCGUGUCAGCCAUGGAUACUGGGGGCUGGAGACGAGGUAGAGGCAAGCGGAAUUCCGGGUGUAGCGGUGGAAUGCGUAGAGAUCCGGAAGAACACCGGAGGCGAAGGCGGCUUGCUGGACCUGGUC